UGGGGAAUUUUGGACAAUGGGGGAAACCCUGAUCCAGCCAUCCCGCGUGUGCGAUGAAGGCCUUCGGGUUGUAAAGCACUUUUGGCAGGAAAGAAACGUCGCGGGUUAAUACCCCGCGAAACUGACGGUACCUGCAGAAUAAGCACCGGCUAACUACGUGCCAGCAGCCGCGGUAAUACGUAGGGUGCAAGCGUUAAUCGGAAUUACUGGGCGUAAAGCGUGCGCAGGCGGUUCGGAAAGAAAGAUGUGAAAUCCCAGAGCUUAACUUUGGAACUGCAUUUUUAACUACCGGGCUAGAGUGUGUCAGAGGGAGGUGGAAUUCCGCGUGUAGCAGUGAAAUGCGUAGAUAUGCGGAGGAACACCGAUGGCGAAGGCAGCCUCCUGGGAUAACACUGACGCUCAUGCACGAAAGCGUGGGGGAGCAAACAGGAUUAGAUACCCUGGUAGUCCACGCCCCUAAACGAUGUCAACUAGCUGUUGGGGGCCUUCGGGCCUUGGUAGCGCAGCUAACGCGUGAAGUUGACCGCCUGGGGGAGUACGGUCGCAAGAUUAAAACUCAAAGGAAUUGACGGGGGUCGA
rnacentral:rRNA from 1 species